UCCGGUUUGUCACCGGCAGUCUCCCUAGAGUUCCCGGCCGAACCGCUGGCAACUAGGGACAAGGGUUGCGCUCGUUACGGGACUUAACCCAACAUCUCACGACACGAGCUGACGACAGCCAUGCAGCACCUGUCACUGGGUUCCCGAAGGCACUCCUCCAUCUCUGGAGGAUUCCCAGGAUGUCAAGGGCAGGUAAGGUGGGGAUGACGUUCCUGUACCAUAGA
rnacentral:misc_RNA from 1 species